rnacentral:tRNA from 1 species
GGCCCCAUGGUCAAGCGGUCAAGACGUAGGCCUCUCACGCCUGAAACCGGGGUUCGAUUCCCCGUGGGGUCACCA